AGUAAAAGUCGUAACAAGGUUUCCGUAGGUGAACCUGCGGAAGGAUCAUUAACGUAUCUCAGGCGGCCGUCCGAGGGCCCUGCUCCGACCGCGAGGCCGUGCAGCGGGCUUUCGGCGACGCCCAACCUUUUCACAAACCCACCGUGCACCUUUGCGGGAGAGGCUCCCCGGGCGAGAGCCCGGUCGGCCGAACCCGCUCCAAACAAACGCUAAGUCGAUAGAAUGUGAUGCGGCCUUUGUGUCGCCUAAUGACAUGACAACUUUCAACAACGGAUCUCUUGGCUCUCGCAUCGAUGAAGAACGCAGCGAAAUGCGAUAAGUAAUGUGAAUUGCAGAAUUCAGUGAAUCAUCGAAUCUUUGAACGCACCUUGCGCUCCUUGGUAUUCCGAGGAGCAUGCCUGUUUGAGUGUCUUGAAGUCAUCAACCCCUUCGGUUUGUUGCGAACCGGAGAAGGUUGGAUUGUGGGGGCUUGCUGCCGUGAGGCUGCUCCCCUCAAAUGCGUCGGUUGGACCUGUGGGUCGGACUCGAUUGGGCGUUGUAUCAUCCUCGCUCUGACCGAGAAGUUCCCCUUCCGUGUCCUUCCACGACUGGCCUUUGGAGAGGCCUGGUCAAACACUCUUUGAAAUCUGACCUCAAAUCAGGUAGGACUACCCGCUGAACUUAAGCAUAUCAAUAAGCGGAGGA
rnacentral:rRNA from 1 species